CCAGGGCUGAGCAUGCAGGAGACGUACAGCAAAAAUGCCUGCAACACAACUAAACCUGGAUUUUUGCUGCAAGCAGACAUCAUGGUUGCUCCGAGAAGGACGAGGAAGUGGCCCCAGACAGCCUUUGUGGACACCUUCGCACACACCUCAGUAAACAGCGAAGUAGCCUGAGGCAGACAGAAGGCACGUACCCAAGACUGUGGGUGUUGGUGCGUGCUGGAGUGGCUUUUCCCUCCCUGGUGAGAUUCCCCAAAGAUCCCAUCUGGGUCCUGCAACUUCUGACUGGCCACCUGCUCUCACCGAGACCUCUCUGGGUAUUAGAGUGGAACCCAGACGCCACCCAGUGGUAUACCUGGGUAAUUGCACCGAACGCUUUCAUCCUUUUCCCCACCUCCAUCUGGCUCCUGAAUGAUUAUCCAUUAAAAAAGAGUCUUAACUCAGGAAGGAGAAAUAGUCCCAUCAUCUUAAUGAUGGUGAGGCUGUUUUCUAUCAUUGCGGAAGGAAGGGACGUGACCUCAGGGGUGUCUCAUGGGUUCCUGCCAGUUUCCUUCAAACAAGUCCAUAACGAUUACGUUUCGUGGGCUCCCAAACCUACUGCCCACACUGCUUCUCCCUGUGCCCCACAGCCGCCCCUUCCCCUGUGUGCUCCUUGAGAUGACCUGACAUAAAC
rnacentral:lncRNA from 1 species